rnacentral:rRNA from 1 species
CCCUAAAAAAAAGGAGGAAUGGGAUUCCGGGAUUUGCACUGUUUUAACAAAGCCAUGCUUGCUAAACAGUGUUGGCGAUUGAUAUCUGAUCCAGACUCCAUAUGUGCUCAGGUGUUACGAGCAAAGUACUACCCAGACGGGGAUUUGAUGAAUGCUACACUGAAAAAAGGUGCGUCCUUUACGUGGCAGAGCAUCAUGGCAGGUAUUAAAACUUUU